GGGUUGUGAGGUUAAGCGACUAAGCGUACACGGUGGAUGCCCUGGCAGUCAGAGGCGAUGAAGGACGUGCUAAUCUGCGAUAAGCGCCGGUAAGGUGAUAUGAACCGUUAUAACCGGCGAUUUCCGAAUGGGGAAACCCAGUGUGAUUCGUCACACUAUCAUUAACUGAAUCCAUAGGUUAAUGAGGCGAACCGGGGGAACUGAAACAUCUAAGUACCCCGAGGAAAAGAAAUCAACCGAGAUUCCCCCAGUAGCGGCGAGCGAACGGGGAGGAGCCCAGAGCCUGAAUCAGCAUGUGUGUUAGUGGAAGCGUCUGGAAAGGCGCGCGAUACAGGGUGACAGCCCCGUACACAAAAGCGCAUGUGCUGUGAGCUCGAUGAGUAGGGCGGGACACGUGGUAUCCUGUCUGAAUAUGGGGGGACCAUCCUCCAAGGCUAAAUACUCCUGACUGACCGAUAGUGAACCAGUACCGUGAGGGAAAGGCGAAAAGAACCCCGGCGAGGGGAGUGAAAAAGAACCUGAAACCGUGUACGUACAAGCAGUGGGAGCACCCUUUGGGGUGUGACUGCGUACCUUUUGUAUAAUGGGUCAGCGACUUAUAUUCUGUAGCAAGGUUAACCGAAUAGGGGAGCCGGAGGGAAACCGAGUCUUAAUUGGGCGUUAAGUUGCAGGGUAUAGACCCGAAACCCGGUGAUCUAGCCAUGGGCAGGUUGAAGGUU
rnacentral:rRNA from 1 species